AUUAGUAUAAGCAACAAAUUAGACCAUUACUCCUUACUCCUACAGGAAUAAUUUGCUUGUAUUUCUUUUUCAUACAUGAACUUUGAAAAAACAGCCAAAGUUUUAGAGUUGAAAAGGCUAGUUUCAUCCCAGCUCUGCCAUUUCCCAGUAAGCUGGUACUUGGGCAAGUUAUUUAAUUUCACUGAGGAUAUAUGCAUACUUCCCAGAAAAUGUGGCUUAGCAUCUACCUCAU
rnacentral:lncRNA from 1 species